UACAGGGGGGGCAAGCGUUGUUCGGAAUUACUGGGCGUAAAGGGUUUGUAGGUGGCUUGCUAAGUCAGACGUGAAAUCCCUCAGCUUAACUGGGGAACUGCGUCUGAUACUGGCGAGCUCGAGUGUGGAAGAGGGAAGCGGAAUUCCCGGUGUAGAGGUGAAAUUCGUAGAUAUCGGGAGGAACACCAGCGGCGAAGGCGGCUUCCUGGUCCAUUACUGACGUUCAGGCACGAAAGCGUGGGGAGCAAACAGG
rnacentral:rRNA from 1 species